CAAAGGGCUCACGGAGGAUACCUAGGCACACAGAGGCGAUGAAGGACGUGGUUACCUGCGAUAAGUCUCGGGGAGUUGGAAGCACACUUUGAUCCGGGAAUUUCCGAAUGGGGCAACCCCUUGAACGACCAACUGAAUAUAUAGGUUGGUGCGAGCUAACCCAGCGAACUGAAACAUCUUAGUAGCUGGAGGAAGAGAAAGUAAAUAACGACUCCCUCAGUAGCGGCGAGCGAACGGGGAAUAGCCCAAACCGAUAGUCUUGACUAUCGGGGUUGUGGGACAGCAAUAUGGAUCAACAAUUCUAGAAGAAACGUUUGAAUGGCGUGCCAUAGAGGGUGAAAGCCCCGUAAUCGAAAGAUGAAUUGACCUAGCUGUAUCCCGAGUAGCACGGAGCACGUGGAAUUCCGUGUGAAUCUGCGAGGACCACCUCGUAAGGCUAAGUACUACUGUGUGACCGAUAGUGAAACAGUACCGCGAGGGAAAGGUGAAAAGAACCCCGGGAGGGGAGUGAAAUAGAACAUGAAACCGUGAGCUUACAAGCAAUGGGAGCCCGACUAAUCGGGUGACCGUGUGCCUGUUGAAGAAUGAGCCGGCGACUUAUAGGCACUGGCGGGUUAAACCGGAAAUGGUGGAGCCACAGCGAAAGCGAGUCUUAAUAGGGCGUUUGUCAGUGUUUAUAGACCCGAACCCUGGUGAUCUAACCAUGGCCAGGAUGAAGCUUGGGUGAUACCAAGUGGAGGUCCGAACCGACUGAAGUUGAAAAUUCAGCGGAUGAGCUGUGGUUAGGGGUGAAAUGCCAAUCGAACCAGGAGCUAGCUGGUUCUCCCCGAAAUACGUUGAGGCGUAGCGUCUAGUGCUCCAGCAGGGGGGUAAAGCAACCAUUUCGGUGCGGGCUGCGAAAGCGGUACCAAAUCGAUAUGAACUCUGAAUACCCUGUGUGUAACUAGGCAGUCAGACUGUGGGGGAUAAGCUCCAUAGUCAAGAGGGAAACAGCCCAGACCGCCAGCUAAGGUCCCAAAAUUAACGCUAAGUGAUAAAGGAGGUGGGAUUGCCCAGACAACCAGGAGGUUUGCCUAGAAGCAGCCAUCCUCAAAGGAGUGCGUAAUAGCUCACUGGUCGAGCGAUCCUGCGCCGAAAAUGAAUGGGACUAAGCGUUAUACCGAAGCUGCGGAUAAAUUUAUUUAUGGUAGGGGAGCGUUCUAUGUUGGGUGAAGCGUUAGCGUAAGCGGACGUGGACGGCAUAGAAGUGAGAAUGUCGGCUUGAGUAGCGAAAACAUGGGUGAGAAUCCCAUGCCCCGAAACCCUAAGGGUUCCUCCGGCAGGCUCGUCCGCGGAGGGUUAGUCUGGACCUAAGGCGAGGCCGAAAGGCGUAGUCGAUGGAUAACAGGUCAAUAUUCCUGUACCAGUUAUGUUUUGGGAAGGGGGACGGAGAAGGCUAGCCAAGCCAGAUGUUGGUUACUGGUUCAAGCGUUCAAGGCUUUGAGAGAUGGAGAAAACAUCUUGAGCUGAGGCGUGAGUACGAGCUGCUACGGCAGCGAAGUUGGUGAUGUCAUGCUUCCAAGAAAAGCCCUAUACCCGUUAAGACAUAAAUGCCAGUACCCGAAACCGACACAGGUGGGGUGGUAGAGAAUACCGAGGGGCGCGAGAUAACUCUCUCUAAGGAACUCGGCAAAAUGGCCCCGUAACUUCGGGAGAAGGGGUGCCAGCGAGAGCUGGUCGCAGUGAAGAGGCGCAAGCGACUGUUUACCAAAAACACAGGUCUCCGCUAAGUCGCAAGACGAUGUAUGGGGGCUGACACCUGCCCAGUGCCGGAAGGUUAAGGAAGCUGGUUAGCUUUUAGCAAAGCUAGCGACUGAAGCCCCGGUGAACGGCGGCCGUAACUAUAACGGUCCUAAGGUAGCGAAAUUCCUUGUCGGGUAAGUUCCGACCCGCACGAAAGGUGUAACGAUUUGCGCGCUGUCUCGGAGAGAGGCUCGGCGAAAUAGAAUUGUCUGUGAAGAUGCGGACUACAUACACCCGGACAGAAAGACCCUAUGAAGCUUUACUGUAGUUUGAUAUUGUGCUCGGGCUCUAAUUGCGCAGAAUAGGUGGGAGACAUUGAAAUAGUACUUGUGGGUAUUAUUGAGUCAUCGGUGAGAUACCACUCUAUUAGAGCUAGGGUUCUAACGCUUACCCGUUAUCCGGGAAGCGGACAGUAUCUGAUGGGCAGUUUGACUGGGGCGGUCGCCUCCUAAAAGGUAACGGAGGCGCACAAAGGUUCCCUCAGGCUGGUUGGAAAUCAGUCGUUGAGUGCAAAAGCAGAAGGGAGCUUGACUGUGAGACCUACAAGUCGAACAGGGACGAAAGUCGGUUUUAGUGAUCCGACGGUUCUGCGUGGAAGGGCCGUCGCUCAACGGAUAAAAGUUACUCUAGGGAUAACAGGCUGAUCUCCCCCAAGAGUUCACAUCGACGGGGAGGUUUGGCACCUCGAUGUCGGCUCAUCGCAACCUGGGGCUGAAGUCGGUCCCAAGGGUUGGGCUGUUCGCCCAUUAAAGCGGUACGCGAGCUGGGUUCAGAACGUCGUGAGACAGUUCGGUCCAUAUCCGGUGUAUGCGCAGGAAUAUUGAGAGGAUUUCUCCCUAGUACGAGAGGACCGGGAGGAACGCACCUCUGGUGUGCCAGUUAUCGUGCCAACGGUAAACGCUGGGUAGCCAUGUGCGGAGUGGAUAACCGCUGAAAGCAUCUAAGUGGGAAGCCCACCUCAAGAUGAGUAUUGCCAUGGCUUAAGCCAGUAAGGUCACGGGAAGAACACCCGUUGAUAGGCUCUACGUGGAAGCUUGGUAACAAGUGCAGCGGAGGAGUACUAAUAGACCGAGGGCUUGACCA
rnacentral:rRNA from 1 species